GCGGGUGUAGCACAGUGGUAGUGCGUUUGGUUGCCAAUCAAAUCACACGGGUUCGAUUCCCGUCACCCGCU
rnacentral:tRNA from 2 species